rnacentral:lncRNA from 1 species
CUGCAGACUAUGGUCGCCAUUACAAGAUGGCGCUGGCUCCGCUGUGGUCUGUGACAAACAACUCCUUAUCUGGGAGAGUUGGCACAUGAUUUUUCACCACCCUGUACACCACCCUGUGAGAAAGUUCCACGCGGCAGCUUUGCAUUGGGGCUUGGGAUGCUUUAUUAAGGCUGGGAGGGGCACCCGAGAGGAAGAAGAAGAAAUAUCAAGGGCCUG